AUGUUCUUAACAUCAGUGUCCUAUAGGUAUUAUAAGAUGACUGCCUGAUAUGGAGCAGCCCAGUGUGUGAAGAACUUGAGAUGCUUAUCAGAACACAAUGGAGAAGCACAGGGUGAAUAUGAGAAGGCUACUUAUUGAGCACCUAGCAUGUAUCAGGCAGUGUGGGAACUGAGCCAAAUUUACAAGAAUAAGAGGCAUCCAUCCCCCAACUGAUAAAAGGACAAGAUAAAAGGUCAUCUGAGAUAUGAACAGUUUUCAGAAGAAAUCAAAGCCAUCAACAGUCAUAUGAAAAAAUUUAAAUCGGGAGAGAUCACUUCCAUAAGGCAUUCUGGGGAGAUACUCUGUUAUGCCAGACCAUUAAGUACAAUGUCCAGAGAGCACCUGGGAAAGCACAGGUAACUUUACAGAUCAAAGCCUUUUUAUAAGAUGAUCUAUUCAGUGAUGCUACAAUUAAAUCAACCUUAUUUCUCCCAGAUUUUCUUCUUCUGUUGGAUCUUAACUUGGAAGAGAGUAUUUCAUUCCAAGGGCCUGGUCAAUAAGGCCAGACUUUCACAAAACUGGUAAGCAAGGAAAGUUUGGUUUGGUUGGACUCCCCCCUUUCCCCCCAGUGCCCUUCCUCUCUUCUACAUCAAUCUCAUCUUGCUCUAGGCUAGAUGUCAACUAAUUCUAAUUUAAUAUCAUAGAUUUAGAGCUCACAGGGACCUUAGAGAUUAUCAUGGUCACACUCCUCAAUUUGUAGAUGAACAAACUGAGGCCUAGAGAGGUUGAAGGAAUAGUUCACACAGCUACAAAUAGGAUCUGAACUCAGGUU